rnacentral:rRNA from 1 species
GAUCCUGGCUCAGGAUGAACGCUAGCGGCAGGCUUAACACAUGCAAGUCGAGGGGCAGCGGGGAGUAGCAAUACUCCGCCGGCGACCGGCGCACGGGUGAGUAACGCGUAUCCAACCUGCCCAUCACUUGGGAAUAACCUUGCGAAAGUAAGACUAAUGCCCAAUGACAUCCCACGAAGGCAUCCGAAUGGGAUUAAAGAUUUAUCGGUGAUGGAUGGGGAUGCGUCUGAUUAG